UCCUGGUUAACCCAGGCAGUCUCGUCAGAGUGCCCAACUUAAUGCUGGCAACAGACGAUAGGGGUUGCGCUCGUUGCGAGACUUAACCCAACAUUUCACAACACGAGCUGACGACAGCCAUGCAGCACCUCUCACUACAUUUCCUUGCGGACACUCCAGCCAUUACGCCGGAUUCGUAGGAGUUCAAGCCUAGGUAAGGUUCUGCGCGUUGCUUCGAAUUAAACCACAUGCUCCACCGCUUGUGCAGGCCCCCGUCAAUUUCUUUGAGUUUUAACCUUGCGGCCGUACUCCCCAGGCGGUGCACUCAUCGCGUAAGCUGUGGCACCGAGACGCGCAAUCACGUCCCAGCGCCGGGUGCACAUCGUUUACGGCGUGGACUAC
rnacentral:misc_RNA from 1 species